CUCCGGGAUGGUCUGGCGCAGCUGCUCGACCAGUUCACGGCUGGGCGCGACCGGUUCCAGGUCGGGCUCGGGGA
rnacentral:tRNA from 1 species